AUCAUUGGGUCACGCUAUAACCUCCUACUCUACAUGUGGGUUAAUCAUGUCUUAGGAGCCUCAUGGUAUCUAUUGUCAAUUGAGCGUCAGGUGACGUACUGCAAGUAUGCUUAUAGACAUGAAAGUGCAGUCUCUCUUACUUGGAUUGUGGUACUUUGAACAAAGAUGAAAGCAAACUAUGAGGAAACAAUACUCAGUUCCAUCGGCCAGGGUUUGGAAACUGCAUUUGCUAUAUUUAUUGCCCAUUUAAUUGGAAAUAUGCAGCAGUCAUUUAUCUAGACUUGCAAAGAGUUCUUCUAGCAUUCCAAUAAUCUCAGUGAGCAAUCCGGAGAAAGUAGCCUUGUGGUUAUGUUCUUAUGAUGAGGGAGUUUCUUUACUACCUUAUGUGUUUCUGUACAAUAAUUUAAGCUAAGCUAAGUUGUAUGUAUUUGUAGGGUUCAACACUUUGAAUGUUUGAGGAAGUAUUAUUUUACAUUGAAAUAUGAUUUUUUUUUUCUUAAUCCUGACUGAUUUGGAGCUAUGGAAGGUUGAGCUCUUUAUGCUACUGCCUACUGAACUUAUGUCUUCCAUUGUCGCAAAACUGUAGUUUUAUUGCAUUAUUAAUAGACAUCAAUAUAUUAUUUUGGGUGAUUGCUCUAGUGAUUGGCUUUCAAUAUUUUGUGCUUUUGGUUUUUGUUUCCCUACUUAAUUAUGAUAUUGCUGAUGUUUAGAUAGUUGUAGCUGGAUUAAGUUUAAUUAUUCAAUUUGGUUCUAGUUUACUCUCUUUGUCUUUUCUUCCUUGCAUGAUUAGGUUUUUGUUUCUGGUUGGGCAUUUUUGGCCAGGGUCAAACUUUCUCCUAAUUUUAUUUGGUUCUUGUAACGUACAUAGCUUCUUAUUUUCAAUGCUAGCUUUUCUUGAUAUUUAUGAUACGUGACUUAAAAGAAGGUGAAUAGUGAUAACUUUUUAAAAGAGAGAUAUAAGGUGAAUAGUGAUAAUUUUCUGAAAGAGAGAUAUAAGGUGAACAGUGAUUUUUGAAGUUCUAAUCUUGUACUCUAUAAAUUACUGUGUGCCAAAGAAGGAAAUGAAGUUCCUGUGGCUUGAUCUUAAUCUAUAUUUUAAUAGUUUCUUGUUUCAAUCCAAAAUUUGUUUCAUGAUCUACUUGGGAUGAGUGAAAUCAGGAAGUAAAAUUGCAUGCAUUUGCUUAAUUUUGUCUUCUUUAUUAUGCAUAACCCUUUGUGCAAUCUGUUUAACCUUCUACAUUACUCUAAGAUAUAGUUGUUGUUGGAAAUGCUUUGUAGCUUUAAUCAAUAGUCAGAAUUUUCUGAAGGUACACAUAUUGGCUGUACACUUGGUUUGACUUUCCUUUUUUCAUCUUCCUGCAGUUCGACUCUAUAGUUUUGAUCAAUACUCCUUUUGGGUUACAGCAAAUAAAUCUAAUCAUAAAAGCGUCCAAUUGAGAGAAGUGAAAAAGAGCCUCAAGUGCCACAAUGGUCUAAAUAAAUCCAUUCAAGAAAGCAUCCAACUGAGAGAAGGGAAAAAGAGCCUAAGUACCAAAAUGGUAAAUUAUUUCACUUUUUAUUUGUAUUCGAUAAUUCUGCUUUGCUUUGCAUCUUAAAUAUUAUGGGUAAAAUGUAUUUAAUAAUCUUAUUGACCCAUUUUAGAUAAAAAUAAAAAGAUAAUUAUCUUCCAUUGUAUUAAAAUAAUAGUAAUGUUUGCCAAUACUUUGUUAUAAAAAGAAUUUAAUAAUGAUUUUAAGAGGGUAAUGUCAUUACAGAAAUUUAAAGUGUUAACAUAUAACGAAAUAUAUUUUUCUUAUAUUCCAUAUAGACUUCUUGAAAUGAAAUAGAAGGAAUUACACUUAAAAUGAAGGAGCAAAUACUAUAAAAUCAAAUAUAGUUAAUGAUUGUUUAACAAAAAUCUUGAUGAAAGUGAUUCUUAGUAUAAAAUUAUAAAAUUGAAAGAUUAAAAAAUAUAAUUUUUAAAUAUUAGAUGUAACUGAUAUGAAAAAAAUAUAUGGGGCAAAUAGUAAUUAUUCUUAUAAAUAAUAAUAAAAUACUUAAAUAAUAAUAAAAAAGAACAUACUUUAAACAGAAAAGUUAACAUUAAUAAUAAUGCUCACAAAAACAUACCAUAUAGUAAUGAAAUACAGCUAUCAUACAAAAAUGAUAUGGUCUUGUACAAGAGGGAAAGCAGGAAAAAAAAUGGGAUGGUUUUGGCUAAAAAUUUAUAUAUUUCUAAGGAGAAAUGAUAUCUUUAUAUAUAUAAUAAUUUUGAAAGUAUUAAAAGAAUAAAAACAAAUUCACUUUGUAAUAAUGCUUUACAUAUUACUAUUGGGAAUAAUUUUUCUUCCGGGGGACCUUCUCCAAUUAUGCGUUUUUGUAAGGGAAAAAGACUGUGCAUAAAAAGAAUAUAUAGAGCUUUUUGAGGAAUAUUAGGCUGGUGGUUGAAUUAAUUAUCAUGAAACAAUAGUGGGAAUGUAAUCUUCCCAUCCCUUAUACUUAUGUUCAGCUCAAAUAUUAAAUAAAAUGACUUUAGAUUUAUGAAAUAAGGUCAGUUUCAUAUGUUAAGAAAAACUUAAGGUAAUAAAAUAAUGAGUCUGGUCAAGGUACUAAUGUAUCUUCUACUAGGAUUAGAUGAGGUAUCAAAGUACCUCUUCUUUAAUAUUUCUUUGCUAUUUUAAUAACAAGUUCAUUUGUGUUCAGUUUUUUUUUUCUUCAUAAUUGCAGGUUUUAAUAACAUGGAUUUAAGAAUCCUAAGUGAUUCAUUUAAAACUCCUCUUAGAAUUAAUUAGGAUUAUUAUUUGUGUUAUUUGAUUUAAGGCUUUUAAAAGCCAGGGUUGUAAUUAAUUCCUCUUAGGCGCCCCCUCAUCCUUAAUCUCUUUCUAGUUACGCUCUAUUCCUUUUUUCCUCAUUUUCUUUACAUGGUUUAAUUUCCCGCAUUAGGUUUUCACCUCACAUGCUUAAACAACUAAAAUCAAUUUAGCAUUUUGUAUGUGGUAGGCUCCAAUGCUCAAUUUGAAGCAAGUUAAAUUUAUUAGUGUAAUCCUGCUAUCCCUUAUGCUUAUGUUGAGCUCAAAUACUAAAUAAAAUGACUUUUAGAUUUAUGAAAUAAAAUUAGACAUUAAUUUGGUUAGUAUCACAUGUUAAGAAAAACUUAAGGUAUUAAAGUAUCUCCCCUAGGGCUAGAUAAGGUACCAAUAUAUCUUUUGCUAGGAUUAGAUGAGAUAUUAAAGUACAUCUUCUUUAAUAUUUCUUUGCUCUUUUUAAUUACAAGUUUCUUUGUGUUUAAUCUUUUUACUAACUUUAUUUUCUCAUAGUUGCAGGUUUUGAUAGUAUGGAUUUAGGAAUCCUAAGUGAUUCAUUUAAAACUCCUUUUAGAAUUAAUUGAGAUUAUUAUUUGUGAUAUUUGAUUUAAGGCUUUUAAAAGCCUGGCCCCCCCCUCCAAUCCUAAUCCCUCUCUAGUUUUCCUCUAUUCUUAUUUUCUUUCUUUUCUUUAUGUAGUUUAAUUUCCCGCAUUAGAUUUUCACCUCACAUGUUUCAACAACUAAAAUCAAUUUAGCAUUUUUUCUGUGAUACGCUCCAA